AUAUUUCUACGAAUUAGUCCCUUUAACUUCGUUAGGAAAGAAAUGAGAGAUAUAUGAAUAACCAUCUAGGUUCGGUAACUACACCUAGUACUGUAGCACAAUUGUCUUGUUACGUCAUUUAAUGUGGGGAGAUGGGGGGGGGUUACGUACAAAGAAACCCAUCAUUAUUCAACACUUUUCUCUGUGCCCGAAGUCCGCCUCUCCUUGCACAGCUCGAAAGUUCUCAAGUAAAUACAGGCCGGCGCGGGGAUUUGCAACCCGUUUUACACCCCUGCUGGAUCACUUGGGAAGAUCGCAGGGAGCAGGACAAACUUCAAGGCUCCUGCGAGUCAAAUUGGACGCCCCGCAACUCCUCCUCUUCCUCCCUGCGAGCUUUGUGCCACGCGACGGGUUUUGGAAACGAAUCCUUUCGGGCCAACCGGUGGGGCAAGAGCUCCAUUGCUGUCCGCAAGCGUGUUAAAGUUAGAUGGGCGAAGAGAGCCCUCUCUUCCCCUCCGCUGGACUCGCCUUCCCUUCUGAAAAGGGGAUCCCCCUCUCCCUGCAACCGCCCCACAACCGUUUACUUGGCAGGCUUGGCAGCCACUCAAGGUCUUGUGAUGCGAUUGGCCAAGCCAGCUCUCUCCUUUGACACACAGCCUCAAGCUCUGCGCUCAACCUGACAAAGGCCGCCGCUGCUGAGCCUGGCAAAGAUCAGGGAGGUGGGGCGGGCUGACGCCAUACAGCUGCGGAGCCACGUUCGGCCGCUCGCUGCCGUCAAGCCCCGCCCCUUUGAGAUUUGAGCGUCUGCCAGGGAGGCUGCUCCUUUCCUCUCCCAAAUUCAUUUCUCAGGGCUCUGACCCAAUAAUGAAUGCACGGCGGCUGCUGGUGGAAACCUGCGCUUGUUUAUCAGACAAACGAAUAAAAAUGGUAGCUUUAAACGGAGGAGUAGCGCUGGGGUGAUUUGCGCUGAGUUAAGAGACAUAAUUUCUUUAUUGCAGAUUGUCUUCCCAAGCGUAAGCCCGCUAAAAGGGCGAACUCCUGAAUCAGCCUAUCUGCCGUGGUUUAUGGGAGCUGGUAUUCGUACGCUCCCGGGUCCUUGUGAUUCCGGGUCCUUGUAACACCAGUGAAAGCAAAGCGUUCCUUCUUGCAGGAAAAGUAACGCACAUCUUCCAAUUCCCAUCUUUUUGUAUAAUUAGCCUAUCCCAAGCGAAUAUAUAUAGAAACUAAACAUGUUCGACUAACCUAAAACGCCGGAAGGAAUAUAUGGCUUACUCUCCUUCACACACCCACACACCCUUUCUACCCUCGAUCGAACUGAUCAGGGCAGAGCCACAUAGCAUGACAGCCCUGCGUUUUACUAAAUGGCGGACGGGCGGGCUGCUGGUUUCAGUAAGGGGAGUCCCUCCAGUUUACAAAUGCAGCCGUUAGAUGGUUCUUUUGCAGAAAGAGCGCCAAUCCCACGAAAUCCAGGGCUUCUCGGCGGCAAAGCCGUGCCGACUUCGAGUCCCUUGGAUCUGGGCUUUGCACCUUCGCCUCUCCUACCACGAUCAUUAGGUGCCCAGCUUCUCUUCCUUCCCGCCUCGCCCCGAUCCUCUCCCGGCUUGGAUUCUCCCGUCGGCCAACCAGGCGCUAACCCGCCGGGCGCGCGCCGUUCUUGUCGGGAGGGAGGCGAGGGCGCCUUUCAAGUAACUCCCUGCUGCUAAAUGGCUGCGCAGAGAAAUGUCCUCCGAGGCGUCUCCGAGGCAAGUGAAAGAUGCAGUCAGUGACAAACAUGGUAAAAAGUUUCACCAGGAUAUUGCUAGAAUGGAAAAAUAGUAAUGGGACAACUGAAAUCCAUCAAUACUGACUAACUAUUGCUGGAUACAGCAAUGAGCUGCAUCAGACAGAUACCUACAUGACACAGACAUUCUGAAAUUAUACGUGUUCAGUUUGAAAGGAUCUAUCAUACUCACCGAACGUUUUCGAGAAAGAAAAACUUUUGAAAAAAAUUGAUGUCCGAUGUAAUUAAAGGAUAUAAUCAAUGUAUCAGAAUGUAUGUAAUUCUUGGGAUUACAAAAAAAUAUUUUUUUUAAAUGAUACCAUAUCGUUUGUUAAAAUUAUGUUUCACAUAUACAUUUGUAUGUAAUCAAACUUUAUAAAUUUGUUC